rnacentral:lncRNA from 12 species
CACAACCACAAAGCAUAUAUAUAUGAAGCCACGUAUACUUAUAUACAUUAAUUUUCACAUUGUUUUGUCGAGGCUAUGAGUUUUCACAAGUUAGCAAGCACUGGUGGUGGUGAUAUAAAGAAAGUGACUGGGGGGCAGCAGUGAUUGGAAGUAGGAGCAUGAUUUUUGUUAUUUCCCUGGAACUAGAGUUGUAUCCAGAGUCUGUGACUGAGCAGAACAAAAGCACUGGCAAAAUGUGUUUCCGGAUGAUUUCUGAACAUGACCAUGACCGCCAACAUUCACUUGGCACUGUGUGAUGUCACAGUACAGAUGUUGCCACCCAGUGGGCAAAUAGGUCUUCUGAUAAGAGGGGAGGGGUUACAGUCAGAUUUCUAGGUUGGGAAGGUCCUUCCCUGUGGAGAUUUCCUAGCAUUUGGCAAGAUGAGACUCUCCCUUCAAAUAUAGAAGUAUUCCUGGCAGCAAUCCUCAGUGUGGGCUGCUCUGAGCAGCAGAGGAUGUUGUCAUGCGAGAAACAGAGAGCACAAGUCUCAGUUGAAAGUCUCCUGGAACUUUGAGAUUGGGCCAAGAUGCAUUUGCCAGUCAAAUUUGAGACCGUAGGACUAUGUUGUGUGAGGUACAGCACACAGGAAGCCUCUGUUCCUGCUACUGGCUUUGCUCUGGAGGCAAUCAGCUCCCCACUCUCGGCUCAAGUGGUGCUGGCCUGCACUGCAUCCAGGAGUUGUUACCAGUCCUUCUGGUUACGAGUUUUGCUUCUCUUCAAGUGGAUGUUGAAUAUAGGACAGAAUCUAUGCAAACUUAGGAGAACUGCUAUAGGCUGGGAGUCCUAUCUUGGGGAAGAGAGCGAGUAUAUGCUUGGCAACUUCUUUCCUUCUCCGGCUGGUGUUUUCAUACCCUCAUUCCCAGUUGGAUCACUGAAGUUUCUGCCCUUUCUGGGGAUGGUAUACAGGGUGGAAAGAUGAAGAAAGAGAGGAGGAAAGAUCAGACUUGAGUGAUAACUUCCAGCUAAUUAACAUUAAACCUCUGGGCUUGGAAAAUGCUUAAAAUCUGUUUCACAGACGCUUUUUGGGUCCUCCGGAGAAUCUCCUAUGUUGCGAAUCUCUGAUUUGCCAUUCUCAGCAAGUACAAAUUAGGUAAUUUGCCAACAUUUUCUGCUGAGUUCUCUUCACCCAUAAUGGAGUACUGGACUCAAAGAAAACAAGCAUCUGUGACCAACACUACAGUUUUCAAAUCCUCUUCUAAUUUCCAGCAACCCAAACUUUUUAAAUCCUUGAUGUCAGUAAGGAAUUAAAAGUCACUAACUUGCUUUUAGUUUUUUCUUUUUAAUUGUGUCUUGCCCAGGCACAUCAGUUUAGAAUGCCUUGUCUAGAGUAUCUUCACAUAACCACACAAAAAUAAGUUACAAUUUCCAAUGUAACAUCGUGCAGAUUAUUACAGUAGUAAGAGUCUCUUUUAGAGGACAAAUGAGAUAAGUCCAUUAGCAAUGGGGUCAAAGAUUUUAAAAAAAUAUCACAAAAGAAUGGUAAAAGGCAAAAAAAUAAGUCAUUGGAUAGAUCUUAGAUUUGUGGUGCAUUCUCAGUUGUACAAAUGGAAUAAAGGGUAAACUCUACAGGAGGAUAAUGAGGAA